rnacentral:rRNA from 2 species
CAUCGUCAGCGUUUUUAGUAUUAAUGCAAGCUAUGAUGUGAUAAUAGAAUCCUUGUGGUCACUAAAUUAUACUUGCUUGUAUUAUUUUUGCUAAAUUUGUCGGCGUGCACUUCUCCUCUAGUAGAACGUCGCAACCUGUUGGAUGUUUAUCUAUGGCUUAAUUGGUAGCCUUUAGUAUUUUAUUAUACUGAAGACCAUUGGAUNUCCUGAUAAACUGUCUGAUAGUAUACAUAUGGUAUUGAGCCGCAAUUAUUUGCGUUAGACUUAUCGCAAGCAUGAUUUUCUCCUGGUAGUGCGGAUAUAAUGCCGUCGCUGGGAAAAAUCUGCUGUUAGCUGAUAAUGUCUUUAACUGGCUUAUUUUAUCCAGUUAGCGAUGCUACUGCUUUGGGUACUUACAGGACCCGUCUUGAAACACGGACCAAGGAGUCUAACAUGUACGCAAGUCAUUGGGAUAUAUUUAUAUAAACCAAACCUAAAGGCGUAAUGAAAGUAUAGAUUGUCUUAAGACAAUUGAGAGAAGAUGNGUUACGUUACGAUGUAAUUCCGCAUUCUCAGGACGUUCUAUUCUCAUUGAGAAAGG